UACGUAGGGUGCAAGCGUUGUCCGGAUUUAUUGGGCGUAAAGAGCGUGUAGGCGGCCAGGUAGGUCAGCUGUGAAAACUCGAGGCUCAACCUCGAGACGUCGGUUGAAACCACCUGGCUAGAGUCCGGAAGAGGAGAGUGGAAUUCCUGGUGUAGCGGUGAAAUGCGCAGAUAUCAGGAAGAACACCCGUGGCUAAGGCGGCUCUCUAGUACGGUACUGACGCUGAGACGCGAAAGCGUGGGGAGCGAACAGG
rnacentral:rRNA from 1 species